rnacentral:rRNA from 1 species
CCUACGGGAGGCAGCAGUGGUGAAUAUUGCACAAUGGGGGGAACCCUGAUGCAGCGACGCCGCGUGGGUGAAGGAGUAUUUCGGUAUGUAAAGCCCUAUCAGCAGGGAAGAACAAUGACGGUACCUGACUAAGAAGCACCGGCUACAUACGUGCAAGCAGCCGCGGUAAUACGUAUGGUGCAAGCGUUAUCCGGAUUUACUGGGUGUAAAGGGAGCGCAGGCGGCGCGUUAAGCCUGGUGUGAAAGUCCGCGGCCCAACCGCGAGACUGCAUGGGGAACUGGCGCGCUGGAGUGCCGGAGGGGUAGGCGGAAUUCCUAGUGUAGCGGUGAAAUGCGGAGAUAGUAGGAGGAACACCAGUGGCGAAGGCGGCCUACUGGACGGUGACUGACGCUGAGGCUCGAAAGCGUGGGGAGCAAACAGGAUUAGAUACCCGAGUAAUC